rnacentral:rRNA from 1 species
CCUACGGGUGGCAGCAGUGAGGAAUAUUGGUCAAUGGCCGGAAGGCUGAACCAGCCAAGCCGCGUGAAGGACGAAGGUGCCAAGCAUUGUAAACUUCUUUUGUCCAGGGACAAACUCAGGCUCGAGAGCCUGACCGCGGGUACUUGAAGAAAAAGCAUCGGCUAACUCCGUGCCAGCAGCCGCGGUAAUACGGAGGAUGCGAGCGUUAUCCGGAUUUAUUGGGUUUAAAGGGUGCGUAGGCGGCCUGUUAAGUCAGAGGUAAAAGCCCGGGGCUCAACCCCGGCGAGCCGUGGAAACUGGGUGUCUUGAGAGGGCGAGAGGUAUGCGGAAUGCGCAGUGUAGCGGUGAAAUGCUUAGAUAUUGCGCAGAACUACGAUUGCGAAGGCAGCAUACCGUCGGCGUUCUGACGCUGAGGCACGAAGGCGUGGGUAUCGAACAGGAUUAGAUACCCGUGUAGUA